UACGUAGGGGGCAAGCGUUGUCCGGAAUUAUUGGGCGUAAAGGGCGCGUAGGCGGCCGUAUAAGUCUGGAGUGAAAGUCCUUCUUUCAAGGAAGGAAUUGCUUUGGAAACUAUAUGGCUUGAGUGCAGGAGAGGUUAUCGGAAUUCCCGGUGUAGCGGUGAAAUGCGUAGAGAUUAGGAAGAACACCAGUGGCGAAGGCGAUUCUCUGGACUGUAACUGACGCUGAGGCUCGAAAGCGUGGGGAGCAAACAGGAUUAGAUACCCUGGUAGUCCCUGA
rnacentral:rRNA from 1 species